ACUGAGCUAAAGGUCCAGAUAAAGCAGUGUUAUCUGUGUGUAAUCUCAGAGUCUAUGGAGUCUAACAGAGACUGCCUGUCGGGCCGAUAUCAAGAGUCCAGGUAUCGAUAUCGGUAUCGGGACUGAAACAGGAUCGGACCAAUCUCUAGUGAUUCCAGUAGUUUUAGACCUAGUAUUGCAUGUUUAGUCAUACGUGUACGUCUACCGUCCAUCAUGUGACCCACAUUUGACAUGUUAAUCACGUGUACAACACCAGUUGAAAAAUGAAAAAGUCCUUCAUUGGAAAGUGGUUUGCUGUCAUUUUUCAUGUGAGUCUAAGACGUCACUCAAAACAUAACUUUCCAUGUAGAAUCACAUGUGCAACACCUCUCCAGAUGAUCGGCCCGUCACCUGUCACCACCUCUCCACUCUACCUCCUCUUUUCUCCACCUCCUCUCAUCUUCUCUCUGAAAUGUUUUAUUGUCUUUACACUUCUUCACUUUAAAAAAAAAAAAAGCAUAUGAAAGAUAAAAGGGACUAAUAGUCAAAAACUUCACUUGUGAAGAGAUGAAUAGAAGUUCAAGGAAUCUAGUAACCAUUAGAUUAUAUUUUCUUUUUCUGUAAGAGUUCAAACUUCAUUUUGAUUUCCUAUAUCCCCUUUUCUCUCCUCUCUCUAUAAGAAAUAUUGAAAACAAGGAAUGUUAGUUUAAAAUAUAAGACAAACGUGUCCUUGUUGUAUAAAAGAGAAUAAAAUGAUCCUCAUCUUUUACAUAUAAAGUGUUUAACUUCAUAUUGCACGUGUUGGAGUUUGAUUUAAUCAUAAUAGACUAUCACUAUCGAUUAUCUAAAUGUUUGAGUAUACCUUGUCAAGUAGAGUUGAGAUCCCAGAAGAGCUGCCCAGAAGAAAGAAAGGCAUAAAGGCCGGGAUAUAAACACCAGGCCGACGGACACAGAGCUCAUAUGAUUAGAAAGAGCUGCUUACUGCAUUUAUGUAUUGUGAAUGAAUAUGAAGUGAUUUAUGUGAUUGUAAUAAUGAUUCAGUUAACGAAAAGCACUGAAGACGCAACAGCUGCUGAAGGUCUCCUUACCUAGAGAUAACAACUGCUGAGUGUGUACUCAUGUAACCCCGAGAGUACAAGAGCGACACAAUCUAGUUCCUAUGUGACCAAAUAAGGAAGUGUAUCCUGUUAGGGGAAUGAAAGGUGUGAGUGUUAAAUCAAAAUGAAUGAUAUCAUGAGAAACUGGGUGAGAAGAGUGUGAAAAGAGGGAUGGUUCAACGGGAGAAUAAAAAGAGAAGACUCGGAGCAUCCAGACGGGAUUUUGCUUGGGACAGCGUCUGGUACUGGGACACUGAGGAGGCUCCUCACAUGACUUUGAGGAGGACACAUCUGGUCUGAAGGGGCUGAACUGGGAGGUUGUUAUCACAUGACGAGAGAGAACAAACACAGAAAAUAAACAGUGAACGCAGCAUUUCAAUAAAGUUGAACUAACUCUGAAUAUGAUUUAGGAUGGACUUGCCUGUAAAUGCAGGUUUAGGGGCCACCAUCUUCUUAACAUGGGCCUCUAUUUCCACCGCAGACAGAGAACGCCGCCCGGAGACAAAGUGCUGAACCACUUUAUACCUGAUCUGUGAUGUUUGAAAAUCCACCAACUCUCUGAAUUGAUCAGCCUUUCAUUGAAUAAACAGCUGAGUUGGUUCUUGAUCAGUAGUUUGGUUCAAACUUCUUUUGUCUCUCUUUUGAUUUGUUUCUAUGAGUUUCCCCAAACUAGCACACCGUCAGUGAUGAAUGGAAGUCAAAGUGAACAAUACAACGUGAAUAAUGAAGCUUUAUUUAAUAAAUCAAUCAUUUUAUACAGUGUUGUGAUGGAUUUUGUCAUUUUUCCUUUGACAUGUUUAUGUGGCUUAUUAUCUAGAAUCAUCCCAAAACUUUGAUUUAUUAUUAUUUCAACAUCACUUAUCAAAGUUUGUUCAUUUGUUACACAAUGACACAAGAUGAUGAAUUUAGUUUGUUCUAAUCAAAACAACUCUUUACACGUUGUGAUUAUUUUCCCACAGAUGAUGAAUUUGAUCCAGAAAGAC